rfam:Ricinus communis cultivar Hale ctg_1100012292083, whole genome shotgun sequence.
GGAGAAAUGGCUGAGUGGAUUAAAGCGUCGGAUUGCUAAUUCGUCGUACGAGUUAUCCGUACCGAGGGUUCGAAUCCCUCUCUUUCCG